rnacentral:ncRNA from 1 species
CACGGGAGUCCCGGGAGCGGGGUCUGAGAGUGGGCGCGCCUGUCCUUACCGUCGAACCUGAUCCGGAUCAUGCCGGCGAAGGGAG